rnacentral:rRNA from 1 species
UACGGAGGGUGCGAGCGUUGUCCGGAAUUAUUGGGCGUAAAGGGUACGUAGGUGGUCUUUCAAGUCGGUGGUUAAAGGCUACGGCUCAACCGUAUUAAGCUGCCGAAACAGGAAGACUUGAGUGCAGGAGAGGAAAGUGGAAUUCUCAGUGUAGCGGUGAAAUGCGUAGAUAUUGAGAAGAACACCAGUAGCGAAGGCGGCUUUCUGGACUGUAACUGACACUGAGGCACGAAAGCGUGGGUAGCAAACAGG